rnacentral:rRNA from 1 species
AUGUCCGGCCUGAGAUACCCGCGCGUUGUCUCCUGCAUCAGUGGCCGCGGCGCCCGCGACGGCUCCUACCAGCUCUUCCUCGAGUUCGCCCCGGGAGGCUCACUAGCGGACCGGGCGGCGAGCAACGGGGGCCUCGACGAGCGCGCCGUCCGCGGGUACGCCACCGACAUGGCGGCUGGACUCGCGUACCUUCACAGGACCGGGAUGGUGCACGGGACGUCAAGGCGUGCAACAUCGUGA